UGGGAUAUAGUUCAGUCGGUAGAACGCUUGACUGUUAAUCAAGAAGUCACUGGUUCGAGUCCAGUUAUCCCAGCCA
rnacentral:tRNA from 1 species